GAUGAACGCUAGCGGGAGGCUUAACACAUGCAAGUCGAGGGGCAGCACGAGGUAGCAAUACUUUGGUGGCGACCGGCAGACGGGUGAGUAACGCGUAUGUAACCUACCCUGUACAGGGGGAUAACCCGGAGAAAUUCGGACUAAUAUCCCAUGGAAAUAUUGAGAGGCAUCUUGAGAUAUUUAAAGUUUCGACGGUACGGGAUGGGCAUGCGUAACAUUAGCUAGUUGGUAGGGUAACGGCCUACCAAGGCAACGAUGUUUAGGGGUCCUGAGAGGGUGAUCCCCCACACUGGUACUGAGACACGGACCAGACUCCUACGGGAGGCAG
rnacentral:rRNA from 1 species